rnacentral:rRNA from 1 species
CGUAGGGUGCGAGCGUUAAUCGGAAUUACUGGGCGUAAAGCGUGCGCAGGCGGUUUUGUAAGACAGAUGUGAAAUCCCCGGGCUCAACCUGAGACCUGCAUUUGUGACUGCAAGGCUAGAGUACGGUAGAGGGGGAUGGAAUUCCGCGUGUAGCAGUGAAAUGCGUAGAUAUGCGGAGGAACACCGAUGGCGAAGGCAAUCCCCUGGACCUGUACUGACGCUCAUGCACGAAAGCGUGGGGAGCAAACAGGAUUAGAUACCCUGGUAGUCCACGCCCUAAACGAUGUCAACUGGUUGUUGGGUCUUUACUGACUCAGUAACGAAGCUAACGCGUGAAGUUGACCGCCUGGGGAGUACGGCCGCAAGGUUG